GAUGAACGCUGGCGGCGUGCCUAAUACAUGCAAGUCGAGCGAACGGACGAGAAGCUUGCUUCUCUGAUGUUAGCGGCGGACGGGUGAGUAACACGUGGAUAACCUACCUAUAAGACUGGGAUAACCUCGGGAAACCGGAGCUAAUACCGGAUGAUAUUUUGAACCGCAUGGUUCAAAAGUGAAAGACGGUCUUGCUGUCACUUAUAGAUGGAUCCGCGCUGCAUUAGCUAGUUGGUAAGGUAACGGCUUACCAAGGCAACGAUGCAUAGCCGACCUGAGAGGGUGAUCGGCCACACUGGAACUGAGACACGGUCCAGACUCCUACGGGAGGCAGCAGUAGGGAAUCUUUCGCAAUGGGCGAAAGCCUGACGGAGCAACGCCGCGUGAGUGAUGAAGGUCUUCGGAUCGUAAAACUCUGUUAUUAGGGAAGAACAUAUGUGUAAGUAACUGUGCACAUCUUGACGUUACCUAAUCAGAAAGCCACGGCUAACUACGUG
rnacentral:rRNA from 1 species